GCCAUGUGGGUUUUCUGUAGGAAUUUCACACAAUUUAAUUCUGAGGGGCUGGACAUACUAAAAAACAAAGGCAAAAUGGACAUUGAACAGUAAAUUGAAGGAACAGCACACCAUAGGUUUCUACUCAAAGGCAAUUUGGGGUCCUCUAUUCAGCAUGUUGUGGCACCGUCAGAAUACUGUGGUGUUUAAGGUGAGGAGGGGCCUUCAAGAUUUGAAGUUUUUACAAAAGAGGAUGAUGUGAAAGGAAAAUUACAUGAAACACUAGUGAACAGGUAUUUUGGAUGCUAGUGAACUUCCUUAGAAUUUACUUGACAUUGCUUUGAAAGUGUCUUCCCUUUGCCUUUUAAAAUACACUGACCCACACAGAUGCCGCCUGGCCCAUGUUCUGUCUUGGUGACAUGCUAUUUUGAUGUUUGCUAAGAUAAAGGAUGACAACGCUAAAAGCAGGAAUCUUUGCGGAACAUCCAUUGAUGUUGCCGUGGGCUCAAGGGCCAGGUUCAAAUCCUAACUUGCAGUUUCUGGUACCUGCAAAUGUGUUUUUCUUUUGGAGGAGAUGUGUGCGUUUGGGGAUCUCCCCUGGCCUAUCAACUGCCCCAAGAUGGAGCUGCAUGCAUUCCAUCUGCUCCUCUGCAUGGAGCAUGACUUCUCACCUUUGCAGCCACCCUUUCCUGAAGAGCCUCUUUUUUCUUUUUCCCAAGUUCAAUUUGUGCAGUGUAUGCUGGUGGAACAAUACCAAGUUAUCUCUCAAACUUCCAAAGCUGGCUGGAGCUGGAUGUGAGGUUUUUACAAGGUAACCACCAAAAGCAGUAAAGUGAAAGCUACAGAACUGGCAGACAUCGGUAUCUAAUAGCUGGUGUCCUUCCUCCUUUCCUGCUGUUACAUAUGCUCUGUGAAAUGGUGUCAAUGAACAGAAGACAACCAAGCCUGCUUUUUCUUUUCCCAACUCAUCAUACAGUGUACCUUGUCUCACCUCCCAGCAAACUGACAGCAACCUGUACCCAACAUGAAAAAAAAAAUAACAAGCAGAUAGCACUCAAGCAGCAAAAUCAACAUUCUUAUUCUUCAGUUAAUGACUAAUGUGAGCAAGAUGAGGUCCAGCAGCACUCCAACAGAACAGAAGAGAGUCCUUUAUUCCCAAAGCAUCAAUGAUAUGGUCAAUAGUUAAAUCCAAUAAGUGAUAUUUUUUCCCUCUUCUUGAACCUAAAAAUUAAGAAAUGAGAGCUCUACAGCUCUUUUUCUUACCUGUAUAUGAAUUACUUGACUGACAUUGCCUUUCAAAAAGAGCUGCAAAUAUGUUAAGCCAGGAGGGUAAAGAAAAUGAAUCCUACUCAUUAAUUAGCAUUACUACAUAGUCCAAGUAUGCACAAUGUGGAUUUGAAGAUGGAUCUCCACCUUUUACGUAUAACCUGGCAGGCGUACAAGUGACAAUGUAUCGUAGCAUUUUGUGUAAACCCUUGUGAAAGUUCUGUCCUUGGUGAGAUACAGAUCUAGGAGAACCAACAUACAGAUGGACAGGUGAUCAAGAAAAAAACAAACAGGAAAUAGCAGGCUGAAGAGAAGAUACACACAUGCAAAGAAAUAGUGCUUAAAUUCUUCUAAGGUCUGAUAAGAGGAGACUGAUGGUCCAGCUGAACCUGCAAAAAGUGAUAGAACUCCAAAUUGUACUGAAUUUUUUCAAAGCAACUGGUACAUAGUAGCAUCAACAAUAGGUUGUAUCACAUGGAUCAUAGCCAGGAGGGUAGAGGCUGCAGUAUUCUGACAGACCCUGGUGUAAUACAUGCACCCUAAUGGGUCUCCCAGACCUACCUCUAGGCCACUCUUUCAGUUGGCCUCCAGCUGUUACUCCAUCCACAUAACU
ensembl:lncRNA